rnacentral:rRNA from 1 species
GUGAACGCUGGCGGUAGGCCUAACACAUGCAGGUCGAACGGCAGCACAGUAAGAGCUUGCUCUUACGGGUGGCGAGUGGCGGACGGGUGAGGAAUACAUCGGAAUCUACUUUUUCGUGGGGGAUAACGUAGGGAAACUUACGCUAAUACCGCAUACGACCUACGGGUGAAAGCAGGGGAUCUUCGGACCUUGCGCGAUUGAAUGAGCCGAUGUCGGAUUAGCUAGUUGGCGGGGUAAAGGCCCACCAAGGCGACGAUCCGUAGCUGGUCUGAGAGGAUGAUCAGCCACACUGGAACUGAGACACGGUCCAGACUCCUACGGGAGGCAGCAGUGGGGAAUAUUGGACAAUGGGCGCAAGCCUGAUCCAGCCAUACCGCGUGGGUGAAGAAGGCCUUCGGGUUGUAAGCCCUUUUGUUGGGAAAGAAAAGCAGCAGGUUAAUACCCCGCUGUUCUGACGGUACCCAAAGAAUAAGCACCGGCUAACUUCGUG